GAUGAACGCUGGCGGCGUGCCUAAUACAUGCAAGUCGAGCGAACGGACGAGAAGCUUGCUUCUCUGAUGUUAGCGGCGGACGGGUGAGUAACACGUGGAUAACCUACCUAUAAGACUGGGAUAACUUCGGGAAACCGGAGCUAAUACCGGAUAAUAUUUUGAACCGCAUGGUUCAAAAGUAAAAGACGGUCUUGCUGUCACUUAUAGAUGGAUCCGCGCUGCAUUAGCUAGUUGGUAAGGUAACGGCUUACCAAGGCAACGAUGCAUAGCCGACCUGAGAGGGUGAUCGGCCACACUGGAACUGAGACACGGUCCAGACUCCUACGGGAGGCAGCAGUAGGGAAUCUUCCGCAAUGGGCGAAAGCCUGACGGAGCAACGCCGCGUGAGUGAUGAAGGUCUUCGGGUCGUAAAACUCUGUUAUUAGGGAAGAACAUAUGUGUAAGUAACUGUGCACAUCUUGACGGUACCUAAUCAGAAAGCCACGGCUAACUACGUGCCAGCAGCCGCGGUAAUACGUAGGUGGCAAGCGUUAUCGGNAAUUUAUGGGCGUAACGCGCGUAGCGGUUUUUUAAGUCUGAUGUGAAAGCCCACGGCUCAACCGUGGAGGGUCAUUGGAAACUGGAAAACUUGAGUGCAGAAGAGGAAAGUGGAAUUCCAUGUGUAGCGGUGAAAUGCGCAGAGAUAUGGAGGAACACCAGUGGCGAAGGCGACUUUCUGGUCUGUAACUGACGCUGAUGUGCGAAAGCGUGGGGAUCAAACAGGAUUAGAUACCCUGGUAGUCCACGCCGUAAACGAUGAGUGCUAAGUGUUAGGGGGUUUCCGCCCCUUAGUGCUGCAGCUAACGCAUUAAGCACUCCGCCUGGGGAGUACGACCGCAAGGUUGAAACUCAAAGGAAUUGACGGGGACCCGCACAAGCGGUGGAGCAUGUGGUUUAAUUCGAAGCAACGCGAAGAACCUUACCAAAUCUUGACAUCCUUUGACAACUCUAGAGAUAGAGCCUUCCCCUUCGGGGGACAAAGUGACAGGUGGUGCAUGGUUGUCGUCAGCUCGUGUCGUGAGAUGUUGGGUUAAGUCCCGCAACGAGCGCAACCCUUAAGCUUAGUUGCCAUCAUUAAGUUGGGCACUCUAAGUUGACUGCCGGUGACAAACCGGAGGAAGGUGGGGAUGACGUCAAAUCAUCAUGCCCCUUAUGAUUUGGGCUACACACGUGCUACAAUGGACAAUACAAAGGGCAGCGAAACCGCGAGGUCAAGCAAAUCCCAUAAAGUUGUUCUCAGUUCGGAUUGUAGUCUGCAACUCGACUACAUGAAGCUGGAAUCGCUAGUAAUCGUAGAUCAGCAUGCUACGGUGAAUACGUUCCCGGGUCU
rnacentral:rRNA from 1 species